GUCUUGUAGCGGAUGCGAGCUUCAACAGGAAGCCAGUGGAGAGAGCGGAGGAGCGGGGUGACGUGAGAGAACUUGGGAAGGUUGAACACCAGACGGGCUGCGGCGUUCUGGAUGAGUUGUAGGGGUUUAAUGGCACAGGCAGGGAGCCCAGCCAACAGCGAGUUGCAGUAAUCCAGACGGGAGAUGACAAGUGCCUGGAUUAGGACCUGCGCCGCUUCCUGUGUGAGGCAGGGUCGUACUCCCAAUCAAAGGAUCAGAGAAUUAAUCUAGUACUGAAAACAUAAACUACAGCUAGCUUGCACUGCAGUGUAUAAAAUCUGCUGUCUCUCCUUUGUUUAGGUAGAUUACUUUCAGCGGCGGGAGCUUCAGGCUGAAGAAUGCGGGAUGUUCUCUCCCCUCGGGUCCUGAUGGACUAUGCAGGUUUGGGAAUCAGGAGAGAAAUUGGUGGCUGAAAGAGAGGGACACUGCGACUGGAGAAAAAUAUCAGGACACUCGAUAGGAGAUGUAAUGGAACUGUCUUUUCUUCCUUUUCAGUCUCAGUACAAAGGCCCUGGUAUGAGAAGGGAUAGGAGAUGGGAGAUGUGAGGUGGGCGGCCAGUGUGGAUUGCCGUCUCCCUUUACCGGAGGAAGUGGAUCUGCGUGUCCGAUCCCAACGUGCAUAAAGCUGUCAAACACCAAUUGAUGGUGAUGAACAACCUCUGGUGAUCAGGGAGAGUGAUGACUGGUUUAAAGAUAUAUGGGAUGAAUGAUGAUUGAGCAGUCCAGGUGUGAUAUCCUUCAUUCAAAGACAAUGAUAUAGACUCAAACUGCCAUUACGCACAGCUAAAUGUUCACUCUUUCAAAUGCCAUUUGCUAUUUGCCUUAGAAAUAAAUAUGUAAGGCACAGUACAGAAAUAGGUUCUGGCAAAAACAUUAUAAAUCUAUAGAUACAUCAUUUACAUGGUUUAUUAAUUGGAUGUUGACAUGUUUGUGGCAUCAGAAUGAGUCAUAGGGGAGUUAAAAAUGAUUAAACCCUGCCUAAAUGUCAAAUCCCUCCAGCUCUGAAUGUAACGUACUGUUGUAAUAAUGUUUAUUUAUGAAGCCCGGCCAUGAUCAAGGCUCAGUUCGGGUUGUUUAUUUCACUUUCAGAAUCUUUUUGUCUCUGUAAUGGCUCAUUACGGCCAUAUGUUGUUCCUAAACCCGAAGUUCUAGAGCAUUCUUCCUUAUUUUGUUUUGCGCACAUUGCACCCAUUAUCUGUUUCCACUAAUUCCUGUCGAGAGCAAUGCCCUUUUGCCUUGCUCAUGCUCUCAAGACAAAGGUGAGUGAGUGUGGGUGGAGGGGGUUGUUGAAUGAAGGCCUUUACUCGUCCCCCUCCUGAGGGUGAAGGUGGACCCCUGGGGGCAGGAGUCCCACUACCCCUUUUAAGUGCUACUCGAGCUUCCUGCUCCGGCCGGCCUUUGUUCUGCUGUUGUGAGAACAGGGGCUGCACACAGAGCCUGGGCGCUCAAAGCAUGUGUUCUUCUAAUUUGCCUUGAUAACUGCCAGAUGAUGAGGCCAGGGCCAAGCAGUACACAGGGGGCCCUUAUUGGCUCUUCUACAGCUGCUGUGCUGGUGGUUGUGGUGGAGGGGACAGGAAGGGGUCCGUCUGCUAGAGUGGGACAGGGAGAAACCGGGGCUUCUAGAGAGCAGUUCCUGGCAAGACAACUCCACUUCCUGUGUCAUGGGAGCUAUCUGAGUCACCUACUCCUCUACAUCUCAGUCCUCCAUCGGCCUUAAUCAUGGGGUGCCCGCAACCAUGCACACGCCAUAUUCCUCACACAGCCCACCCGCCCUUCUCCCGACCGGCGACAUUACAGCUACCAGUCGG
rnacentral:lncRNA from 1 species